CCUACGGGAGGCAGCAGUGGGGAAUAUUGGGCAAUGGGCGGGAGCCUGAACCAGCCAAGUCGCGUGAGGGAAGACGGUCCUAUGGAUUGUAAACCUCUUUAGGCGGGGAGCAAUGCCGGGCACGCGUGCCCGGAGGGAGAGUACCCGCAGAAUAAGCAUCGGCUAACUCCGUGCCAGCAGCCGCGGUAAUACGGAGGAUGCAAGCGUUAUCCGGAUUUAUUGGGUUUAAAGGGUGCGUAGGCGGUCCGGAAAGUCAGCGGUAAAAGCCCGGGGCUCAACCCCGGCGAGCCGUUGAAACUGUGUCCCUUGAGUGCGCGAAGGGUAGGCGGAAUGCGUGGGGUAGCGGUGAAAUGCAUAGAUAUCACUCAGAACUCCGAUCGCGAAGGCAGCCUACCGGCGCGCAACUGACGCUCAUGCACGAAAGCGUGGGUAUCGAACAGGAUUAGAUACCCGAGUAGUC
rnacentral:rRNA from 1 species